rnacentral:rRNA from 1 species
GUCUACGGCCAUACCACCCUGAACACGCCCGAUCUCAUCUGAUCUCGGAAGCUAAGUAGGGUUGGACUUGGUUAGUACUUGGAUGGGAGCUUUGUUUGCUCAGCUUCAAAGCCA